UCUAAAUUACCCUUUGGCACCCAUAUCUAAUGGCAAGUGGGCCUGGCCCAUUAUAUGAGCUCACUUGAUUUUGAAAGCCCAAUGUACUGUCCCUAAUUUCUUUUAUUUCAAUAUUACCAUAUAAAAAAAAAAAUUACAAAUGGGCUUUUGACAGUAUCUGUUUUACAGCUAUACCCUCUACAGUUUUACCAUUGCCCUAAACAAGGGGAAGGCACAUUUUGUUCUCUCAUCCAAGGAAGGCUUGCCGAGACCCCUACAUUAAAGGGCAAUUGACCUUUUCUGUUAAAAUGGAUACGUAAAAUCCGGGGAACUCUCACCCUUCUAAGAUGAAAUAACUUAAAUGCCCCUAUAUGGGUAAGGGGACCCAUCUUUCAAAUGGACCCGCCCUCCGUAAAAGGAGUAGCAAUAUUUGACCAAAGGUUCAUCAAAUCCCCAUUUAUCUUGAAGAACAAAAAGAGAGACUAGCUGCCGAGGCCUCAGUGCAUGUGUAUAAAUAAAUGCUUGAUAUUGAUGCGUAAAGAAAACCAUUGUUAUUGCUGCUACCUGCAUUUAGAGUUUGGCGUUAGCGGAGCUUAGUUUAGCUCCCUAGAAUCCACAAACGAAUGUUAGGCUAAGAAGCACUCUCUGCGUAGGGUUUUUUGGUGGCUGUCUCGAGAAAUUUAGCCUCGGUCCUGGUGCCCUGUUGCGUCAGGACAGGAGAGGCAGGCUCUCCAUAAAAAAAUGGAACCCAAGGUCAGAGAUCUCAACAUGGAGACAGGGGUAAUAGUGUAAUAAUGGGAAUUGAUAAAGGGUUGGAAUGGAAAAGAGAAAGAGGAAAGAGGUUGCUUGCGCAAAUCUAGCUAAUCUAGGCAUCCUUUGCAAGUAAAGCUUUGUGUUUUAAGGCAAAAGAAUUGAAUUGAAGAACCCAAAACCGUACAAAACAACACACCAUUCUCUUUCUCUCGUUUCCCACAAUUUAAUUAACUUGGCCUCAUUAUGUUUAGACAGAACACUCACAAGGCAAAGAGCCCCAGAAAAAUCUCUGCCCUCAGCCCUCAGGCCUCAGCACCUUCUUUAUUAUUGUCAUUUCUCCUUCUUUUUAUUAUUAUUACUGCUAUCUUUCUAAGAUAGGACAAGGAAACCCAUCUCUGAGGAAAGCAGAAAGAAGAAAGAAGAAAGAAGAAGAAGAAGAAGAAGAAAAAACGGUUGUGGUGGCGGUGGAAGAUGAAGAGAGCCGAGGCUGAAAUUACGUGGGAAAUCGAAGCAUGUUUGGUGUUUGUGAUUAGAAUACUGUUAAAGCAAAUGGAUCUUAUUUUGGGCUUAUUUGAGAGGUGGUGGACUGGAUACUCGAGCAACUCCAUUUCUGUUGUCCAAUCCUUGCAGAAAAAAGCUUUCUUCUUCUUUCUCUUCUGCUUCCUUGGCUUCUGGUAAUGAUUUUGUUGGUUGGUUGGUUGGUGGUGGCGGUGGUGGUGAUAUUGGCUGGACGGCUCAAUCUCUUCAUUGUUAUGGCAUAGAACUAAAAAAUCUUUCUUUUUCUUUCUGGGUUUCACUUUGUAACCUAGUCUUAUAAUGCUGAUAUGCAACAACAGGUUUAACUUAAUUUCUUGCUCUUUCUUGUUUUGGUUUUGUGAAUUUUCUUGCAUUUUCCAGGAAACCAAACAAUUAAUCUCCAUUAUAGCUGAAGAAGCAAGCAACCUAACCAUCUCCUUAAAGAAGGUAAAGGUUGGGGGGGUAAAGCUUUUAAUUUUGGGGUCCCCUAAAAGAUGCAGGCUUCCAUGUUUCAAAACACUGUUUCAUUAUCGAUUCAAUUCAAAAUCACUGUCAGUAGUCUUUUGCUUCGGUCCCUAUUGUUAAUUUAUUGUUUUUUCCUUGGGAAAUGUAGAGGUGAGCUUUGAUGUUAUAAGUUCAAUCCUCUUCAGUUAUUGUUUUGUCAUCUUCAUCAACUUGUACAUUUUCUUUAAGAAAUUUAUAUUUAUAUUAUGAAUUGGGGAAUUUGCAAUUA